UACGUAGGGUGCAAGCGUUGUCCGGAAUUAUUGGGCGUAAAGAGCUCGUAGGCGGUCUGUUGCGUCCGCUGUGAAAACUCGGGGCUUAACCCCGGGCCUGCAGUGGGUACGGGCAGACUAGAGUGCGGUAGGGGGAGACUGGAAUUCCUGGUGUAGCGGUGAAAUGCGCAGAUAUCAGGAGGAACACCGGUGGCGAAGGCGGGUCUCUGGGCCGUAACUGACGCUGAGGAGCGAAAGCGUGGGGAGCGAACAGG
rnacentral:rRNA from 1 species